ensembl:lncRNA
AUGACUGAGUGUACACAUAAAAACUCACAUUUAACUAAUAUAUAUUACUCAAGUGAUUUAAAUAGCUCAGCAAAUGAAAACAAUGUCUCAUUAUUAUACAACGAUUUAAUUAAAAAUUUAUCUACAUCAGAUAAGCAUGUAGAUAAUGGUGAAAAUAGUAACAAUUGUUUAUUUACUUCAUCUAUAAUAUCAAGAACAAAUCCCUCAGAAACUUUAAAAAGUACAGAAAAGAAAGCACCAAGUGACGUUUUGGAAGCAAAUUUAUUUCACCAUUAUCAAAAACAAGCACAAAUUCUUUGUAAAAAUAAUGUUAUAGAAAGGUGUGCAACAGAAUGUGCUGAAGAUUGUUUACCAGAGUGUGCCGAAGAUUGUUUACCUGAAUGUGCCGAAGAUUGUUUACCAGAAUGUGCCGAAGAUUGUUUACCAGAAUGUGCCGAAGAUUGUUUACCAGAAUGUACGGAAAGAUACGUACCUGAAUGUACAAAAGAUAUUGAACAUUUGAGUAGCCUAACAAAAAACAUCAAGAUAAAGUCUAACAAAUUUGAUAAUAAAACACAGUCAGCUACUAAAACACAAUCAGACACUAAAACACAAUCAGCCACUAAAACACAAUCAGCUACUAAAGACCAAUCUGAAAACGUAAAAAACUCUCUCAUAUGUUACAAUAAUCAGAACAACUCACAAAAUAAUAGUAUAUUGUGUACGAAUAACAACAUUAUUUCAACUAAUGAUAAAAAUACCUUUGUUGAAAAACGUUGCGAUUCUGCUAGUCGUGUUUAUGAUGAUAAAAGUUUCAACAAGUGUCCAUUGAGUUCAUCUGUUACAUUAUGUCAAACAAAAAACACAACAAAUUUAAAUACAAGUUAUAGGAAUUUAGGAAGUAUACAAAUAUUACCUAGUAUGAAUAAUGAUGAAAAUAAAUAUAAUACUUAUCAUUCGAAUGGAAAAACACUUAAUCAAAAUAAAACUAAUACAUUAGAAAUGAAAUAUUAUUCACCAAAUGAACACAAAUCAUUUGGGUCAAAUCGUAAAAACACUACUUUCUUGGAUCACGAAAAUAAUGAUACAUUAUUACUGAAAAAAAAAUAUAAUUCUGAAAACGUAAUACAAUCGUUAAAAAGUACAAAGUCGGAAAAUAAAAAUUUUGAUCUUAGUACCCAUGAUAACAUAUAUAAAAGUGAUAACCAAUAUAACAGAAUUCAUAAAAAAAAAUUAAAAAGCUAUUCAUUAGACGACAUAAAAAAUAAUAAAGUAAAAAUGCCUAGUGUUAUAUUUACUAAAUUGCCAUUAGUUCCACAUGGACUUAAUGCAGUAGAUUCGUAUGUAAAAAAUAAUAAAGUGCUAAGUUUUAUGAAAGAUUGUAAUGAUUCAGUUAAUCUUGUAUUAAAGUACCCAAAAAUUACUAAAAAACAUACAGGAACAAUAAAAGUACCUGUGGAAAUGGCUCCUUCACUUAGAAAUAACAUUGGAAUGCCUAUAAUGUAUGAAGAUAAUUUUGAUAGAAAAAAUUAUCACCCAGCUGUUAAAAAUUUACAUAUGGGAAAUAUAUAUGAAAAACAUGUUUUUAAUAUGUUAAAAAAUAAAAAAGAAUUGGGGAAAGAUGUAUUUAAAAGCAAUAAUAAAUAUGGAAAAAUUAACUAUGAUAAUAAUGAUGGAUUUUGGAUAAGUAACCCUAAUAAAAAUUCUUUAAAAAACGAUACAACAAAAAUUAGUGAUUAUAUUACAGAAUUAGUUUAUGAAAAAGAAAAUUCUUAUAACGAAGAAAUGAAAAUAUUAAUGCAAUUUGAAAAUUUUGAUGCUAUACCACCUUUAUCUGAAGUGUAUAAAGGUAAUGAUUUUUAUAAAUUCUUACAAAAAGAAGCAAUACAACCUGGAGUUUUAAAACCAACCAUAGCAACUAUAAUGCGCCGUUAUGAUAUAGAACAUGUUUCAGAUUACCAAAAGGUUUCUUCUUCUGAGUGCAUAACACCUAUUCCUACUUAA